GAAGUUGGAGAAAAUGAAAAUACUUAAUUAAAAGUAACUUACAGUUGUAUUGAAGUACGACAUAGUUACUUUCCACAGCUGAUAAAAUGCAGUGAUAUUAUGUGUAACUAGCCUAAACAUUAAUUCCAGACAUGUUUCUAUCUGCCCGCAUGUCGGACACACUGCUGUCCACGCUGACGUACCGUCACCUGUUGGGACAGGGAUGUUGUCCCUACCUUCACAUGUUAGGACACAGA